GGUCCAGUAUCUCAGUGUCAGAGCACCAGCAUAUAGUUAAGCCAGGAGGUCAUUGGUUCAAUCCCAGGCUGGGCCA